CGACACUACUGCUUCCCAUUGCCAAGGAUUCAAUACUGCUUUGCCAAGUAAAGAGAGCUGAGAUCUGUACAGUUGGCACACGAAGAUUUUUCCUGCAUCCCGGUACAUGUGACAAUUAACAGUUACCAGUCACAAAAGUUUGAAGAAUGGUCUGAGC